CAGUAACCGCGGGAAUACGUAGGUGGCAAGCGUUGUCCGGAAUUAUUGGGCGUAAAGGGCUCGCAGGCGGUUUCUUAAGUCUGAUGUGAAAGCCCCCGGCUCAACCGGGGAGGGUCAUUGGAAACUGGGAAACUUGAGUGCAGAAGAGGAGAGUGGAAUUCCACGUGCAGCGGUGAAAUGCGUAGAGAUGUGGAGGAACACCAGUGGCGAAGGCGUCUCUCUGGUCUGUAACUGACGCUGAGGAGCGAAAGCGUGGGGAGCGAACAGGAUUAGAUACCCCCGUAGUCCCUGUCUCUUAUAA
rnacentral:rRNA from 1 species